UACGUAGGGUGCAAGCGUUGUCCGGAAUUAUUGGGCGUAAAGAGCUCGUAGGCGGUUUGUCGCGUCUGCUGUGAAAACGCGAGGCUCAACCUCGCGCCUGCAGUGGGGUACGGGCAGACUAGAGUGCGGUAGGGGGAGAUUGGAAUUCCUGGUGUAGCGGUGGAAUGCGCAGAUAUCAGGGAGGAACACCGGUGGCGAAGGCGGG
rnacentral:rRNA from 1 species